CCUACGGGAGGCAGCAGUGGGGAAUCUUGCGCAAUGGGCGAAAGCCUGACGCAGCCAUGCCGCGUGAAUGAUGAAGGUCUUAGGAUUGUAAAAUUCUUUCACCGGGGACGAUAAUGACGGUACCCGGAGAAGAAGCCCCGGCUAACUUCGUGCCAGCAGCCGCGGUAAUACGAAGGGGGCUAGCGUUGCUCGGAAUUACUGGGCGUAAAGGGAGCGUAGGCGGAUAGUUUAGUCAGAGGUGAAAGCCCAGGGCUCAACCUUGGAAUUGCCUUUGAUACUGGCUAUCUUGAGUACGGAAGAGGUAUGUGGAACUCCGAGUGUAGAGGUGAAAUUCGUAGAUAUUCGGAAGAACACCAGUGGCGAAGGCGACAUACUGGUCCGUUACUGACGCUGAGGCUCGAAAGCGUGGGGAGCAAACAGGAUUAGAUACCCUGGUAGUCCACGCUGUAAACGAUGAGUGCUAGUUGUCGGCAUGCAUGCAUGUCGGUGACGCNGCUACGCAUAGCACNCCGCCGUGGGAGGUACGGUCGCGAGAAGUUAAACUUAAAUAGUUAAGUUAGUACGGUUCGUUGAGACGUUGCCGACGGACGACGACGAGGGAGGAGG
rnacentral:rRNA from 1 species